UUAAGUUAUUAAGGGCGCACGGUGGAUGCCUUGGCACUAGAAGCCGAUGAAGGACGUUACUAACGACGAUAUGCUUUGGGGAGCUGUAAGUAAGCUUUGAUCCAGAGAUUUCCGAAUGGGGAAACCCAGCAUGAGUUAUGUCAUGUUAUCGAUAUGUGAAUACAUAGCAUAUCAGAAGGCACACCCGGAGAACUGAAACAUCUUAGUACCCGGAGGAAGAGAAAGAAAAUUCGAUUCCCUUAGUAGCGGCGAGCGAAACGGGAAGAGCCCAAACCAACAAGCUUGCUUGUUGGGGUUGUAGGACACUCUAUACGGAGUUACAAAGGACGACAUUAGACGAAUCAUCUGGAAAGAUGAAUCAAAGAAGGUAAUAAUCCUGUAGUCGAAAAUGUUGUCUCUCUUGAGUGGAUCCUGAGUACGACGGAGCACGUGAAAUUCCGUCGGAAUCUGGGAGGACCAUCUCCUAAGGCUAAAUACUCUCUAGUGACCGAUAGUGAACCAGUACCGUGAGGGAAAGGUGAAAAGCACCCCGGAAGGGGAGUGAAAUAGAACCUGAAACCGUGUGCUUACAAGUAGUCAGAGCCCGUUAAUGGGUGAUGGCGUGCCUUUUGUAGAAUGAACCGGCGAGUUACGAUUUGAUGCAAGGUUAAGCAGUAAAUGUGGAGCCGUAGCGAAAGCGAGUCUGAAUAGGGCGUUUAGUAUUUGGUCGUAGACCCGAAACCAGGUGAUCUACCCUUGGUCAGGUUGAAGUUCAGGUAACACUGAAUGGAGGACCGAACCGACUUACGUUGAAAAGUGAGCGGAUGAACUGAGGGUAGCGGAGAAAUUCCAAUCGAACCUGGAGAUAGCUGGUUCUCUCCGAAAUAGCUUUAGGGCUAGCCUCAAGUGAUGAUUAUUGGAGGUAGAGCACUGUUUGGACGAGGGGCCCCUCUCGGGUUACCGAAUUCAGACAAACUCCGAAUGCCAAUUAAUUUAACUUGGGAGUCAGAACAUGGGUGAUAAGGUCCGUGUUCGAAAGGGAAACAGCCCAGACCACCAGCUAAGGUCCCAAAAUAUAUGUUAAGUGGAAAAGGAUGUGGCGUUGCCCAGACAACUAGGAUGUUGGCUUAGAAGCAGCCAUCAUUUAAAGAGUGCGUAAUAGCUCACUAGUCGAGUGACACUGCGCCGAAAAUGUACCGGGGCUAAACAUAUUACCGAAGCUGUGGAUUGUCCUUUGGACAAUGGUAGGAGAGCGUUCUAAGGGCGUUGAAGCAUGAUCGUAAGGACAUGUGGAGCGCUUAGAAGUGAGAAUGCCGGUGUGAGUAGCGAAAGACGGGUGAGAAUCCCGUCCACCGAUUGACUAAGGUUUCCAGAGGAAGGCUCGUCCGCUCUGGGUUAGUCGGGUCCUAAGCUGAGGCCGACAGGCGUAGGCGAUGGAUAACAGGUUGAUAUUCCUGUACCACCUAUAAUCGUUUUAAUCGAUGGGGGGACGCAGUAGGAUAGGCGAAGCGUGCGAUUGGAUUGCACGUCUAAGCAGUAAGGCUGAGUAUUAGGCAAAUCCGGUACUCGUUAAGGCUGAGCUGUGAUGGGGAGAAGACAUUGAGUCUUCGAGUCGUUGAUUUCACACUGCCGAGAAAAGCCUCUAGAUAGAAAAUAGGUGCCCGUACCGCAAACCGACACAGGUAGUCAAGAUGAGAAUUCUAAGGUGAGCGAGCGAACUCUCGUUAAGGAACUCGGCAAAAUGACCCCGUAACUUCGGGAGAAGGGGUGCUCUUUAGGGUUAACGCCCAGAAGAGCCGCAGUGAAUAGGCCCAAGCGACUGUUUAUCAAAAACACAGGUCUCUGCUAAACCGUAAGGUGAUGUAUAGGGGCUGACGCCUGCCCGGUGCUGGAAGGUUAAGAGGAGUGGUUAGCUUCUGCGAAGCUACGAAUCGAAGCCCCAGUAAACGGCGGCCGUAACUAUAACGGUCCUAAGGUAGCGAAAUUCCUUGUCGGGUAAGUUCCGACCCGCACGAAAGGCGUAACGAUUUGGGCACUGUCUCAACGAGAGACUCGGUGAAAUCAUAGUACCUGUGAAGAUGCAGGUUACCCGCGACAGGACGGAAAGACCCCGUGGAGCUUUACUGUAGCCUGAUAUUGAAAUUCGGCACAGCUUGUACAGGAUAGGUAGGAGCCUUUGAAACGUGAGCGCUAGCUUACGUGGAGGCGCUGGUGGGAUACUACCCUAGCUGUGUUGGCUUUCUAACCGGCACCACUUAUCGUGGUGGGAGACAGUGUCAAGCGGGCAGUUUGACUGGGGCGGUCGCCUCCUAAAAGGUAACGGAGGCGCUCAAAGGUUCCCUCAGAAUGGUUGGAAAUCAUUCAUAGAGUGU
rnacentral:rRNA from 1 species